GACCGAACGACCAAGAAUGUCCAAUCCGAUUACUUGACUAUUAGGCAUCUAAUCAAAUCAUAUCACAUAUGAGAGAAUUUAGAUCAAAUCUAAAUCAUAUCAGAUCUAAUUUUAAUAUUAUAUCAUAUCUAAAUUAGAUCAAAAAUAUCACAUGUAUCAUAUAAAAUCAGAUUUUAUCAAAGAUCGGUAUAAACUACGAUAACUUUUUCACUGUAAGGGGUAAACCCUAUAGCAGAGCAACCUUAUUUC
rnacentral:lncRNA from 1 species